rnacentral:lncRNA from 1 species
CUCUCAAGGACUUUGGAUGGCCUUUCUGUGCUGGGGUUUCUCAGACCCUUCUGUGCUUCUCAGCCUCUCACUGUUCAACCCCAGAACUCAGCUGCCGCUUGGAGGCUCUGUCAGCAGCUGAGGGUGGCUGCAGUACAGCAUCGCCUUGGUUCAGCCUCGUGCUCCCUUAACUUCGCCACGCUUCAAAUUUUUGUGCUCCCUUUUCCCACAAGUCAGGCAGACAAAAACCAUCGAGUCCCUCGGCUUUCCUUCUGCCCCGCCAGCCUCAUAACCAACCCGUUGCCAUUCACGCAGGCAAAGCAGGCAUUCGAGGCUCUCUGGUGCAUCCUGCCACUGCUCCUGCAACGCUUCCCUCCGCACCCCGGAUGCUACCAAGCCCGUCCCAGUCCCCUGCACACCACACGGGACACGUGCACCUGGGCAGACGGGGCGUUUUGCCACUUUGCACAAAGGAGAGCGGCGGGGAUUCAUUUCAGCACCGCCGGAGACGUCGCUGAGCCACCAUUCGGUGCGGGCUCCGGGGCCGGGGCAGCUCCGGACCAUCACCGCCGGGCGGCGCAGCCGGCGCUAGGACCCGGCGAGCGGCGGCGGGCGGGAGCGGCGCGCCUGCGCGAGCGGGCGGGCGGGCUGCACCGAGCCACCGGGCAGCGGCGGCGGCAGCGGGAGGAGCCGCGGGAGGAGCAGCGGGAGGAGCAGCGGCGGCGUCGCGGGUCCCCGCCGCCCGCACCGGCCCCGACCCCCGGCGAGGCAGCGCUCGGCGCAGCCAGCCGCGGACGAGGAGGAAGCGGCGUUGCGGCGCUGUCCGUUCAGCACCACCGGGGCCCCGCCGCCCCCGUCGGGCGGGGCGGGCGCAACCCCGCCGCCCCCGGCUCCGACCCCGCAGCCCCGCAGCCGAACGCCGGAGGGCACCGCCGCCGCGAUUUUUUCUUUUUUUUUUUUCCUUAUUAUUAUUAUUAUUUUUUUUUCUCCCCUCCCUCCCGGGUGUCUUGGCCACAUCCAACCGGCAGGGACCUCCCCCUCCGCCCCGUCCCUGCUCCCCAGCCUCCGCAGCGGCCGAGCUCCCGGAGCAUGUCCCCGCCGCCCCUUCCCGCCCCACCGCCGCGGCCGCGGCCCCCGCGCCCCUGA